UCAAUUGGUGUAGAAAACAAUGUUAAGUUUAGCAUUAACUAUUUAUUUAUUUAUUUUUACACAUUGAAGGAGAUCCCCACCCGCAAACAGCAGGAAACUUAUGCCUUGGGCAUUAUUUCUCUCUUUCCUAGCCUGAGAGACCAGUUUUUAACAAAGGGCUAUGAGCAUUUCUACGUUCCAGAAAAGGGAACGGAGUUCAUCUCCUGGCGCCUUAAAAUUUUGUCGAGGAAGAACCCAAAACGUGUUGGCUUGGCGAUGACUGAAAGUGGAGGACCAAGUCGAAGAAGGAUAGAUGAUGUGCAACAACUCGAAGGAGAUGCAUGCAGAGAGAUUGGGACGGUCACAUGUCCUGCUGCUGUUGCAUCUCCUGCCUUCUGCUCCAGGGAGGAAGAAGACUAAGAUCAGUACAACAGAGGCUGGUGACAGACUUGUGCAUUACCAUAAGUCCUGCACCAGUAUUGAAGGCCGUCUCAUCAGGAGGGAGGGCCACCAGCCAUUCCUACUGAGAUCAGGAAGGAUUAAGGGCAGGAUCAACCACUUUUACGUCAUUGUGGACAAGUGCCUCAUCCCUUGCGUUGGAACCAGCUCCUUGAGUGCCUUUGAACUUUUUAAAGUUCACUGU
rnacentral:lncRNA from 1 species